UUUCCCUCAUGAUAGUUUGAGCUUGUCUAAGAAUUUUAUAAGGUAAAGUGGAUGGUUAGAGGCAUUAAAGGCAUAAAAUCCUUGACCUAUUAUCAGACUUUAAAUAGAUAAGUCAUUGAGGUGGCCUGAUUGAACCCUAGAACAAAAUGAGAGCUCCAAGUGGGCAAUUAUUGAUUUAGAACUUGCUACUGACAUAGAAGCU
rnacentral:rRNA from 1 species